AUUGAACGCUGGCGGCGUGCUUAACACAUGCAAGUCGAACGAAGUGGCGAACGGGUGAGUAACGCGUAAUCAACCUGCCCUUCAGAGGGGGAUAACAGUUGGAAACGACUGCUAAUACCGCAUACUGAAGGAGGGGAUUGCGUCUGAUUAGCUAGUUGGAGGGGUAACGGCCCACCAAGGCGAUGAUCAGUAGCCGGUAUGGGAGGAGGAACGGCCAAAUUGGGACUGAGACAAGGCCCAGACUCCUACGGGAGGCAGCAGGGGGGAAUCUUCCGAAAUGGACGAAAGUCUGAAGGAGCAACGCCGCGGGAGUGAUGACGGCCUUCGGGUUGGAAAGCUCUGUUAAUCGGGACGCGGUACCGGAAUAGAAAGCCACGGCUAACUACGUGCCAGCAGCCGCGGUAAUAC
rnacentral:rRNA from 1 species